rnacentral:rRNA from 1 species
CCUACGGGUGGCAGCAGUGAGGAAUAUUGGUCAAUGGACGAGAGUCUGAACCAGCCAAGUAGCGUGAAGGAUGACUGCCCUAUGGGUUGUAAACGUCUUUUAUAGGGGAAUAAAAUGGUCCACGGGUGGGAUUUCGUAUGUACCAUAUGAAUAAGGAUCGGCUAACUCCGUGCCAGCAGCCGCGGUAAUACGGAGGAUACGAGCGUUACCCGGAUUUAUUGGGUUUAAAGGGAGCGUAGGUGGUGUGGUUAGUCAGUUGUGGAAGUUUGCGGCUGAACCGUACAAUGGCAGUUGAUAAUGGCAGUCUUGAGUACAGUAGAGGUAGGCGGAAUUCGAUGUGUAGCGGUGAAAUGCUUAGAUAUCACGAAGAACUCCGAAUGCGAAGGCAGUUCACUGGACUGCAACUGACACUGAGGCUCGAAAGUGUGGGUAUCAAACAGGAUUAGAUACCCGAGUAGUC